UCAGCCCGGAUGAAGAUAGGAG
rnacentral:misc_RNA from 1 species